UGCUCGAUUUGCAAUGCUACAUUAACGAUUAGAUUACAUAGCGGAUUAACCAAAUACAGUUAUCCUGGCAGGAUUGCCUGUAAUUCUGCCAGGAUAACUCGAACCAAACGGGCCCUUAUAUGAAUCCCCAAUAGAUAAAGCUGAUGUGGCACAACAUCAUUUUUUUGAAUUUUUUUAAAAAAAAACAGCAAUAGAAAUAAAGCAAAUAAUGACUAAUUAAUAAUAUAAUAUUAUUUAUUACUGUAUACAAGACUGUUGGACUUCUCGAAUAGUUAAUAGUUAUUCACUAUAAAUUAAUUUUGGAAGUUACUAAAUUACCAUAUUUUUUCAUAUAAAGUUAACAUGCCUUUUCAAAUUACUGUAUCUUUUCUCAUUAAAGUCUUCCUAAUUAAUUCUUAAUUUAAUGCUACACCUUAAUAGAUAACUGCUAUUCAUGAGACCUUUCCUCUUCUUAAAAUUACUCUACCUAUUUUCAUAACUCUUAAAAUUUUUUAAUCCUAUAUUUGCCAUUUAUAUGCCCCCUCUUUCUCUUUCUCCCUCAAAUGGCAUUUCAAUAUUUUAUUUUAUUUUCUACUUUUAAUUCAAUAGUCUUUAUUGUUAAUUAGUAAGGCAAUUGUUAUUUUUUUCUUUUGAUUUUUUUCUCUACUAAUUUUAUCUUAUGAGUUCAAUUAUAAAGUAUUUAUUUUAACUUUUUUUUUUCCAGGUUAAUUCCUACAGAAGCUUUCGUGAGGAUAAAAAUAAAUGUAAGUGCACAAAAAAAAAUUUUAUGCUGUAUUUUUAAAUGCAUGUUAUAUUAUAUUUUUUUCUAAGCAAUUUUACAAAAUAAAAGCAAAAAAAUACUUAAGAGAAUUUCAAAAUCUAAUAAAAAAAAAAGAAGCAUUGCAAAAAUAGAGUUAAAGAAGCAAAAUUAUUAGACUUCCACAAAAAAAGAAGGUUGAGAAGAGCCCCUUUAUUUUAUAACUGUCUUCAUUUGUAAAUUUUCUUCCAUAUAAAUUUUUAAGUUUUAUAAAUAAAAUUUAUUAGAUAAAAAAUACUAACUUUAGACAAGUUUUAGAGAAUCAAAAUUUUAAUUAUAUACUUUUUAUAUUUUACAAGAAUAAUUUAAGCAGAAAACUAUCAUAACUUUUAAAAAUAUUUAUAAAAAAAUUAAUUUAGAGAUAAUUAUUUGUAUGUCUCUCUAAAGUUUUAAUUAUUUUACUUGGCUUCCCGAACUCUUGAAAUUUAUAAAUUUGUCAUUCUUUAUUAGUUGACAUAUUAAUAUUAAUUUUUUCAGUACAUAUGAAUCUCUCUUCAUUCUCUUCUUUUUUGUUUUUGGAUUAGUAAUGAUAAAUUUUUUUAUGCAUAUUUUAUAUUUAAAUUUUUUUUAAAAAUUUCUAUCCGCCGUAUCGCGCAGGAGUCUACACUAGUAUAAUAAUAAAUUGCAAACAAGGUGCGCUACUAGAAAAUUUUUUAUUUUUUUUAUAAAAAUCAUAAAUAUAGGCCUCAUUUGGUGUCGUCUUUAUUUUCUAUUUUCUAAAUAAAAUUAUAUAUAUAUAUAUAUAUUUAUAUAUAUAUAUAAAGGUAUAGGAGUAGAAAGUAAAUUUCUUACAAUUCUUUUUAUUUUGGUAAGAAAAAAUAAAAAUCUGAAAAUAAUCUUUUUUUCCUUUCAAAAUUUUUCGAAAUAAAUUAUCGUCUAUCACUUAGGCGAAUACAUUGUAAACUAAUUUUUUUUCCAAUAUAUCAAAUUACAUAAAAAUAUUGUUUAAACAAAUAAAAAAAAAAAAGCCGAACGAUAUGAGGCCAUAGUAAUUCAUUUGCGGUCCACGGCUUACAUGGUAGACCUGGUCCAGGUAACAAUCUCACUAUCCCGGUCGCUGGACUGUGCACGUGGCGCUCUAUCAUUGGAUCUUGGAAUUCUUUUUGACUUUUACGUACUCUCGAGUGUCCGUUUCCGGUUCUACAAGAGUCUCGUGGUGCUCGGGCAAUGCAAAAUGACCAAAUUACCCUCCACACCUUUACAAAAUUACACACCAGUGUAACAGGUACAUUCUAUAUACAAUAAAUUAAUUAAAUAUAUAUAUAUAUAUAAUAUAUAAUAAAAAUAUUUUUUUAUAACUUAUGAUGGAAUAGAUGAAUUGUAGGGGAUAAUUGUGAUUCAUUAGAUCAUAAAAUAUGUGACCAGAAUAUUAUAAAUUUUUUCCAAAAUAAGUAUGGAGUAAACAGGUAUUUUAUUUUUUAUUUAUUGGAAAUUAAGAUAAAAAAUAAAACUAAUCUGGGAAUAACCCAAAAUCAACUGAUAGUAAUAAGUAAUAGUAUUUAUAAAUAAUUGAGAAACUUUAAAAAAGAUAAUAUAAAAAUCAAAUACUUUUAGGGUGUGUUUUUUUUAUUUAUAGAAUAAUCCAAUAUUCCAGUAUAAUUAAAAGAAAAAUUAUGUUUAGUUUGACAUUUCUUUAUUUCCUACCUUUUAGAAUAUUUAAAAUUAUAUUUAAUUGCUUUUUAAAAAAUAAUAAAGAAUGGUAGAAAAUAUGAAGCAUAGGUCUCGAAUACCUACCAUUAAAUCUUUAAUCAACUAUAUCAGUUACAGUCACCAACUAUCAAAUCUUUAACCAACUGUACUGGAUAUGGUCGAUACUCUUUAUUCUCAAAGCUUAGUUAACUGUGCUAAAAGCUAUCCGCACUCAGUAAAAAAUGUAAAGCAACUAAGUUUCAAACUUGGGACCUCAGAUACCAAUCAUCAAGCCUUUUACCACUUGCAUUAAGGACGGUCAGUAUUUUUAUGUUUUGUGCUCCGUUCAGUUUCUUAAAAAAAAAAACUUAACUAAAAAUAUAAAGUAAUUAAGCUUCAUACUAGAGAUCUCGAAGAUCGACUAACUAUUAAAUUCUUUGUCACUUAUGGUGUAGGCGUUCUAUCUCUUAUUUAAGUAAUUUUUGAAAGAGAAAUUGUAACAACCUAAUCCGCCAGCAAUAAUAACUCGCUCGUUGGGUCCAAACCACCAGUCCAAAAUACUUAAGUUCAGUUAUUAUUACUAGCAUGUAGGUCUCAUAUAUUCUAGUUAGAAUCAAUUUUUCAUCGGAUAUGAAAUUAUUAGGGCACCAGAGAAGUAUAAUAUGUUACAUGCUUUGUGCAUUUCUUUCUUAAAAAAAAUAAUAAUAAUAAUUAGUAUUUAAAAUUAGAAUCUUUGAACAUGAAUUGUUAUAAAUAGGAUUUUUUCGGUGGGCAAGUCACCACUUACGUACGUAGAGAAACAAAGCGAGAGAUUCUCUCCACUGAGAGGACACGUGGGCGUAGACCGAACCACGGAGGGGCAUUUUUGUCAUUUCGCACGGCGGUCAUGGGCAUUUCUCGCAUUCAAUGUUUUUAUUUUAUUUUUAUUUUCUGGGUGUUUUCUCGUAUUAAUAACUUCUCUUUAAUAAUAAUAAUAAAUAAAUAAAGGUGGUGGGUGUGGAACACCGGUUAGGAAAGGAGAUUACAUUGCGUAGACCUGGUCUACUAGACCGGGUCAAUAAAAAAUGUAAUUUAUAAUUGUAGAAAAGAAAUAAUUAAUUAAUUUCAUAUGUAUUCCUGUAAUAUUCUAAAAUUUUACAGAUUUAUCUAUGCAGAGUUUUAGUUUAUUAAAUAUAUUUCUCUAAAUCUUGAAAAUAAAUGUAAUUUAUUUCUCACAGACUAAUUACCAACUGAGGCUACAAAAUAUCAAUUACAGAAAAAAAAAAAAUAUGAAAGACUAUUUCAAAAUAUCCUAAAUUUAAGAGGCCACAAAAAAACUUUUGUUAGAAAAUUUUAGGCCCCAUUAUUUAUUAUUGUCAAUUUUAUAUUUUUUCAAACGCGAAUUCUAUAUAAUUUAGUCUGACGAAGAAAUAUUUUUAUUAUUAUUAUAAUUGAUUAGCUUGUAAUUUAUCUAACUAAGUGAUAGAUUAUAAUUUAUUUAAAUUUUUUUAAAAGUGAAAGUUAUUUUUAUUUUUUAUUUUUUAUUGUCAAUUAAAGAUUUCGGAUGAAAAGAUUCUAAGUAAUUCAUUAUCUACUCUUAUAUUUUUUUUGAUAUAUAAAAUUUUAUUUAAAGAAAAAUAAACAUAAUACCAAAUGACGCCUAAAAUACUAAUUUAAUUAAUUUCCAGGUCCAUGGAUUACGUGGUACACCGGUCCAUGCCAAACCUUCUAGUACCGGUUCAUGGAGGGUACUGUGGCGCGUGCCAAAACCGACACGAAGAAAAAGGAGGCGAAAACGAGAGAGUAAACCCAAAAAAAAAAAUAAAGAAAAAGAAAAAGAAAAAAAAACCCUUCGAAAACGAAGAGAGAGAGAGAGAGAGAGAGAGAGAGAGGGAGAGAAAAAAAAAAAGGGAAAAAAAACGAAGCUUUAGAGGGAGUGGGGGGGACCUCGUCGAGCUCAAAUCGAUCCCUUUUAGGGUUCCAAUCGCCCUCGCAUUCCCCUGCUCCGGAGGCUUCGAGGCUCCCAUGGAGCGCCCGCGCGACACCGGGCUCGAAGGUGCUCACCCCCCGAUCCCCGGAUUUUUUUUCCCUUUUUUGGCUGAUUUUUUGGUGAUUUUUCUACUUGGUUGUGGAAAUGGUGCUGGGUUUUGUGCAUUUACGGGGGUUUGGGGGGGUUUUGAUCGUUGUUGUUGGGAUUUGUUGUAGAACAAAUGUGGAGGUUGGGAUUGGGUGCGGAUUUCCCCCCUUUUUUCCUCUUUUUUUUUGAUUAAUUUCUCGUUGGUAGUGGAAUGGCGCUAGGUUUUGUGUGUGAUUUUAGGGUUUUGGAUUGGUUGGGGUUGCGAUUUCUGUUGUUGUGUUGUUUGUGGUAGAGCCAAUGUGGAGGCUGGGAUUGGGCUGCGAUUUCCCUGGAUUUUUCGCCAUUUAUUCCUAUAUUUUUGGUGAAUUUCUCGUUGGUGGAGUAAAUGGUGCAAGGUUUUGUUGUGUGUUUGGGGUGGGCUUUGGAUUGGUAGGGUUUUGAUCCUUGUUGUUGUGUUGCUUUUGUGGUAGAGCCAAUGUGGAGGUUGAGAUUGGGAGGCAAUACUGGUUACCCGCUGAGGCCCGGUGAGCCGGAUUGCACCUACUACCUCCGCACCGGAUUAUGUUCAUUUGGGGAGAGAUGCCGAUACAAUCACCCGCGUGAUCGAAGUGGAGCUUUGGUAAGGGAUUUUAGUUUCUUCUGGGGCUCAAUAAUACUCUUUUAUCUUUUGAAAUUAAGCUAAAGGUGAAGAAUUAGGAAAGAGACUAUCUACCUAUGGGUCAUUUGCAAAUCAGUGCUUGAACUCUAAAGUGAACACUGGAUUUUAGAAGGUAGUUCCUGAAAUUUUUGAAAAUUUGAUUUUAGUAUCUUAGACCUGUUAUUGUGCAACAACUCGAGAAAUUAUUUCUUGCACCAUGUGCAUCUGUACAUCUGUGUACGGCUCUACCAUCUUCCCUCCGUUUCAUCUCAUACUUCAAUCUUUGCCGCCUAAUGGAUUGCUGCCUCCGAGAUACUUAAAAUUUGGAUGGUUUGAUUGGAAGGUUUGCAAUGAGAUGUAGGAUUGAUGACAUUAAUGUGCAUGGAUGUACCAGUGCACUGGUUGCAAGCAAUAAAUUUCUCCAACAGCUUUCCUAAUGACGAGAUUCUGAAAUUAGAACUUCAGAAAGGUUAGGUAUUGAAAUCAAAACUUCGGGCCCUCUUUGGACCUCAGAAUAAGAUACUGAAUAAUAACUUAUUUGGUGUUUCUUAUUUGGUGUUUGCGAGCUGAAAUACCAAAGUCGGUUGACCGGGUCAAAUCUUCAGUAGGUUGUCAUUCAUCUGUGAUGAUGACCCUCAAAGGCGAAGGAUCUGACCUCUCUAAACUAGGCAAUAAGCUAAGGAGGGGUCUACUCAACCAGGUUUUUACUCGGCUGAAAUAUCUUAAAAUACUAGAGGCACAAAUUAACAAAUCAAUUGGCUGAACUUUGAGCCGAAUGAGCAAACUUUUCAUUAGAAUUUAGAGAACUUACAAAAUGCAGGAGACGAGCACAAGGGCUUAGUUUACAGAGACAAGCUACAAACUACCUAAAUUAUGAUCUACUCCUAUGAAAACAGUAAAUGCAGGAAUUAAAGAGAUAAUAAAAGCAUUCUAGACAUUUGAUCACACUCGCCAUCUAAAACAUACUGAGCUACUAGAGUGGAUCAAAACUACGUGUUGAAUAAGAUGUUCAUGCAUCCAAACAAUGCUUUAAAGUUCUAAAUCACAAAUAUUUCAGGACUUCAGGUAGCUUUGGUCCCUUUUUUUUUUCUUUAUCUUUGUUGGUAGUCUAAUCUAUUAACAUCUUCUUUCUUUUCAGUGUGCAUGUAUUGUUCAAUAGGCCUUUAAUCGAAUGCACUGCUGAAGAAAGUGAAUUGUUGUUAGGAUUUGCUUAGUUACUGUUCACUAUUGGUAGUGAGAAAUUUUGAGUUACUUUCUUGUGGUACAGCCCAAUUGCAUUACCAUGGUUCAAGUAGUAAUAUCUCUGUUCCAAUUGACUGUUGAGAUUGUUGUUCCAAUUGACUGUUAGGACUUGCCGUUAAAUGCCAUUAAGGUUGAGCAUGUGAUAAUCAUCUGGUUCAGUAAAGGUCCAUGGAAAUAAAGAUUUAAUUGCUUAAUCCUUAUUGACCCUCCUUACAUUGGUUUGAUGAAUAAUAGAAUUUUCACAUACUCUAUUCUACCAGCAGGUUUUAGCUUCAGCCAGAACUGCGAGGUGGUAAAGUUUUACAAUCUUGAGCAACUAGAUAUUAAAGCUAAAUCAAUUUCUCUUUGGUACUUCCUUUGGCAACUUGAUUAUAUUGUUUUCAGUUGCCUGGAACUGGAAGGAGUGGAAUGGUAGAGUAUCCAGAGCGUCCUGGGCAACCUGAAUGCCCAGUACUAUGCGUUUUUUUUUUAAAUUUAGAUUCAAUUUAGAAUUGAUGUUAAUGCUGAGCCUUAAAAAUGAUGGAAAUUUAACUUCUAAUGAUGCCUUGUUUCUAUUCUGUUUGAAAUACUGCAAUACUGGUACCGCAGUACUACAUGAAGAAUGGGACUUGCAAAUUUGGUUCUACAUGCAAAUUUCACCACCCAAAACAAGGUGGACAUGUUCAGCAAGUAUUGCUUAAUUAUUUUGGAUAUCCACUACGGCCGGUUAGAAAUUCUUUACCCAAUCCGAAUACCGUUGCUUUAAUGGGUUUUACAUAGAUAACACUGUUGUAGGUUUGUGAUAUUGAUGGUAACUUCACAAAUUUCAGGGAGAGAAGGAAUGCUCCUACUAUAUGAAGACGGGACAGUGCAAGUUUGGUUUGACUUGUAAAUUUCAUCAUCCAGAGCCUUCGUCAGUUCCUUCUUCUCAACAAUACCCACCCUUAGCUACUAUGCAGCUUGGAACAUCAGUAAUGCCUAGACCAUACGUGUCAGGAUCCUAUGGUCCGAUGAUGGUCUCUCCAGGAGUGCUCCCUAUGCCUUAUCCGGUUUGUAAAACCUGCUGGAACAUAUUGUUGUUUUGUUUGUCUUUUCAUGGUGUAAUGAGAUUCAAAUGGAAUAUGAGAAAUUAUUGCCUGCACCCGGUUGUUGUACCACGUCAGCACGUACAUUGCCCUCCAUUCCAUCUCAUCCUUUUGACUCCACCAUCAAAAAAUAGGUUUUAAUUCAACAAGCAGUUGGUAUUGAAUUGUGAGAUAGGAUGAAUUGAGGAUCAAUGGAUGGUGCACGGCUGAUGUGAUGCAGCAGGUAGGCAAUAAUUUCUCAUGGAAUAUUUGGGAUUUUGUUCUACUGAUUUCUUGUUUUUGUGAGUUAGGCACCUGUGAGUCCUGUGUUGUCCCGUGGUGGACAGCAAACUGUUCAAGCUGGGCCAGCUUACAAUAUAGCACACCAGGCAGCUCCCUUAGAGCCAGGGUCUUCUUUAGCUGGGUUUUCAGGCAGUGGUCAAGGGGACCACAAAUUUCCUGAGCGGCCAGGUCAACCAGAAUGCCAGUAUUACAUGAGGACAGGGGAUUGUAAAUUUGGAGCUACGUGUAAAUACCAUCAUCCUCCGAACAGGAGCAUAGCUAAAACUGAUUGUCAUUUAAGUCCGUUAGGUCUACCUCUUCGCCCGGUAUGCAUCUUUAUUUUUUCCUUUUUCUUUUUUGGUUUUUCUUUCAUUACUAUUUAGCCGUUUUCUACUGGCACUAUUUCCUUUAACAAAGAGAUGAAUAUCAUCUAUCGAGCAGUCAAAACUAUGACUAAAUGAAUGUUGUUUAUUUGUAAUAUACUUUUUUAAAAGCUGCUGAGUGAACCAUAUUCAUGUGGUUCACUAUGUAUUCUUUGGCGGUCAAUUGUAGUAUCUGCAAUGAAUUUUAUUGGAGACAGAAGCUAACAUGAUUUAGUUUUCAGUCAGCCGCAAACGUUGCUAGAGGAAAUGCUUUAAGUUUUGGAAUAUUAUAUUGUCAGGAGACUGCAAAGUAGCUCCUAUCCCCUUAGCAUUACACAUAUGUUGCAUCCUUCUAGUGCUUAAGAACCAUAUAAUGACAUGAACAAGUCUUUUACUUGAGUGAAUAGUACAUGACCAAGUGGCCUACUUCUAUUUAAUUUAUUGUUUAUCGAAAAGCAAACUGGAUGCUUGGAUAUUGAAUUUUUUUUCAAAGUUCUUUGGAAUUUUUACUUUGAUUGUUCACUAUGUCACUGCUAGAAUAUUAUUCAUUUGAUUUUGAAAGUUCAGUAUUUCUUCUACAUUACAGUGUAUAAACUUAAGCAGAUCUCUAAAUCUUUUUUUUUUUUAUAACUUUUAUUUUUAUUCUGGGUUUUUUUUGCAUUUAGCCCCCUAGUAAAUUUUUAUUUUAAAAAUAGCCCUAUCAAAAUUUAAUUUGCAAAAAUGGCCCUGCAUCUGCCACGCAGGCGCCACGUCAGCGCCACGCGGGCUGGGCAUGGGCCAGUGUAUUAAGUUAAACACGGUGAACCAUUCACCGUGUUCAAACACGGUGAAUGGUUCACCGUGUUUAGUACGUAUUUUUUCCUUAAAGAAUAGAGAGUUAGGGAUGUUAAUGGGGUAUGGAUAUCCAAAAUAUUAUUCGAACCUAAACCCGAAUAAAUUAUAUAUAUACAUAAUUUAUUUUUAUUUAUUUAUACAAUAUAUAAAAUAUCUAAUAAUUUUUAUUUCUUAGAUCUUCAUCCAAUCCAAUGGUAUAGAUUUUUAAAAUUAUUAGAUAUUUUAUACCGUUGGAUUGGAUGAAGAUCUAAGAAAUAAAAAUUAUUGGAUAUUUUAUAUAUUGUAUAAAUAUGUAAAAAUAAAUUAUGUAUAUAAAAUAAUUUAUUCGGGUUUAGGUUCGAAUAAUAUUUUGAAUAUCCAUACCCCAUUAACAUCCCUAACUCCCUAUUCCUCUACAAAAAAUACGUACUAAACACGGUGAAUUAUUCACCGUGUCUAAACACGGUGAAUGAUUCACCGUGUUUAACUUAACUACCGCCCCCAGCCCCGCCCGCGUGGCGCUGACGUGGCGCUUGCGUGGCAGGAGUAGGGCCAUUUUUGCAAAUUAAAUUUUGAUAGGGCUACUUUUAAAAUAAAAAUUCUUCAGGGGGCUAAAUGCAAAAAAAGCCCUUUAUUCUUGUUAUUCUAUGAUUUUGUCCCUUCAAUUUGUGUUAAAUUUAAAAUUUCUUUUAUGAGAUUUUUAAGCCUGUACUUUACUUGGAUGACAUACGCACCAAACUAAGAUAGAUGCACUAUGCUCUGCAGUAUCUUGGCUGUCGGAUGUCAUUGUUUGGAAAAGAUCUUAGUUCAACUCUGCAGCCAUCAAUAGCAUAGAAAAUAUGAGAUAAGUUGACUAGCCUCAUGUUAUUGUUGAUGUUGCCUUUUGGAACAUCAAGGUAAGUGGCAGUUAAGGUGUCUUUUUUUUUCUGAAUUUUCUUUUGCCAAGUAUUUGGUUCCAGUGUCCAGAUUAUCCGCAUCAGAACAGUAGACAAAAUAGGGUCAACUUGUUUGUUUCUCUCAGCUACAAAUUUUCUCGGCAGCCAACUGCAUAUAUGGUAAGAAAGAUAUGACAAUCGUUCGAUCAAGUACUACUGCUAAAUGAGCUGGCUUUCAGAUCAUAGUAGUUUUGAUGUCCUUAAUAUAACUAGUAUGAUGGUCUAAAAGACAUUUGCACGAAUCCGUUUCACAACUUGUAUAAUGCUAUGCUUGAGAUAGAUUUGAUUAUUUAGUUUCACUUUUUGGUGCAUGUAGGACUGUUUCCAGUGAGAAGUUUUUUACACAGACGCAAUGGCUAAAAGAAGCAUCUUAUUAUUGAGUAUUGGCAAAAUUAACUAGGACACUGAUGUCCACAGACAAACACUAGAUGUUAAAAACCAUUUGCUGAUACCCCUGAUGUUCACUACAAAGAAUGCCAGAUUAAUUUGUUUUUCAAAUAGUAUUCUUGGUUUAUUGAAUCAGCCUUUCCCAAGCUUCCUAUUUUAUUCUGUGUUUUUCCGUGAUGCUUUUUUUUUGGACGCUUAAGUAGUUUGUAAAUCAUGUUUUUAAACUCUUUUGUUUCUGGAAGCUGCUAAAGCUUCAUUACACGACAUGUAAAAAUAAGUCAACAUACAGCAUAGAUGUGUUUUACUGCCUUAGCUUCUCUGUGCAUGCAAACGCCUUCAAGGGAGAACUAUGUUCAACUUUUAUUGUUGAGUUGGUAUUUGCAUGAAGUGGCUACUCUUAAGAAUCUAGCCUGCAAUCAUCAGAUUGUAAGCCUAUGAACGAUGCUGCUGCACGUGCAUAUAGCUGAAUUCAUAAUGACCAUGACAUAAAGGUGGUAAGUUUUCUUUAAGGCAUGAGGCAUCUAAAUCACAUGAAUAAUGGACACUACUCCCUAGUCCCUCUCUGCAUGAUUAAUUGUUUAAUUUCUUACAUGUGAUACUUUGGAUAUCUUAAGUCAGUUUCAAUUCUUUUUCCUUUUAUUUCUGGGAUCAUAGUAAACUAAAAUGAUCAAAUUUUAGUUACUUAGUAGCUUAGAACCGAAGUCUAUCAAGUCCUGGGUGUUUCCUUUUCAACAGUAGUUCUGGUUUGUUAAAGUGCUAAAAUGUGUGAUAGUUUAUUUGAAAUUCAUGCCAUGACUAUAAUUUCAUAUGGUAAUACAGGUGUAUAGAGUUUACAAAUAUCUUUUAUAUUGUUUACUUUUUGACUUUUAAAUGGUGUUUUCAUUCAUUAUGCUAUACAUAAUUUUCUGUUUCAUUGCACUUGGUUUUUAUAUGUUGGCUUCAAGUUAUUGUCUUUUGCUGCCUUGUACUGUAGGCAAUGAUAGAUCCUAUGUUCUUUAAUAUUGGGUGACCUCUCUCUCUCUCUCUCUCUCUCUCUCUCUCGCAUGCGCAAGUAUGCGUUGAUGUCACAUGAUAUCAUGCGGACAAACAUUUUGCAUUCACCUACUGCAGGGAGGAUUUUGAACCAGCUGACUUAUUCCAAGAGGAUGCAGAAUGUUAAUCCGCGCUGAUAUUAAUUUCACCUUCCUGUUGUAGCGUAACUGUAUAUUUUUCCAUGCUUAUCCAAAAUUAAGCCUUUUCAUGCUAAACUCCAGCUAGUUACACCCGAUUAGUGCUCCCGUGAUCCCACUAGUCAUGCUCAAAACCAUGUCUCGAGCUUGGGUCACUAAUAAAAUGAGAGAGCUUGGACAGAGCCAAAAACAAGCUGACCUCAAGCGACUUGCAACCCAGAAUCUUUUUGGGCAUGUAUGUAUCGUCCUUGUGUGUUCUAUGGAGAGAAAUUUGGAUUACUUGAGUAGUUAGCUGCAACUUUUUCUCUGAUGAAUUUUUUAUGAAACAGAGUUUUACUAUUCAAGUAAUUUAUCCUUGAUACAAAUUUUCGUUAGCAGUGAUUGCAAAAUGUCCUUUGUUUUCUUCCUUUUUCAUAACUAGCAUUUGGAACUCCCAUGUUUUAAGCAAGUUCUAACCAUCCCUCUUUUACAGGAUGCUCAGCCUUGCACUUACUACAUGCGGCAUGGAGAAUGCAAAUUCGGGCCAGCAUGCAGGUUUGACCAUCCGAUGGGGUCAAUGAGCUAUAGCCCUUCAGCUUCUUCACUCUCUGACAUGCCCGUUGCUCCUUACCCGAUCGGUUAUGCUGUCGCAACUUUGGCUCCAUCCUCUUCAUCGUCAGAUCUACGGCUCGAAUACUUUACUACCAAGGAUUCAGCCUCAUCACGAAUGGCUUCUGUUGAAAGCGCUUCUGGCUCCAUCGGUUCGAUCUUUUCAAGAGGAGGGUAUGCCCCUCACGCCUUCAUUCACCCACAAACCUCUCUGGUCGCUGUAAGUGCUUCUUCCACAAGCCAUGGGAGUGAGAUCUCCGGUUAGAACUGAGAAAACCCAAAAGGGAAGAAAAACAUGUUCUUUUAGAUCUUUUUCCCCAUCUUCUCCAGAACAAUUCUCAUUGCCUGUGCCUCCAUCAUUCAUCCUCCCUUAUCCCAUGUUAGUUUCUGUUAGUUAUUCUCAUACAACCUUUAUCCUUGUAAACUUAGUCUCAUGUCAAUAAUCGGCCCACCAACAUAUAAGAGGCAAAUCUACAUUAUACUAAGUUAUUCAACCCUCCCAUCUUAAUAAUUGCCUUGCUAAAAAUUGAAAGCAAGAUCAAUCUACUUAACUAUUCUCUGUUGCUCGCCACCACCCUAAGAUGUAGAGAUUCACCUUUCUCGGCACAUUAUCUUCUCAGAUAGGGGUCGGUUUCGCACUUUAAAGCAAAUGCUCACAUGCAAAACAACUGCUUGGAUUAGCCUCUCUCACUUAUCUAAGUUUUUAUAAAUAUAUAUAUGUUAUAUUCUGAGCCGAAUUUGCGGGACUCGUGUAUAGUUAUUACAUCAACAAUGAAUGCUGUACCAUUGUGUAAAUGUAUUCAGAAGGCUUUAGAAUUAUCAGUUUCAGUUAAAGAUCUUGCUGGCAUAUACAUGGAUAUGAAUGUUUUAUAUAUUUGAGCAUGUAAACUUGAACUUGAUCAGCUGUUUUGUUCAGAAAAGUGAAUAGGGUUCUUAUUAUGCCCCUUGAGAACCCUUCUAGGGCUCUUCUUUUAUUCUUCAGUUCCAAAGUUAGAAAAUAAAAAUAAGGUGCCCUAGAUGUUGUUGCAGGGAUGCCGCCGUCUUCGCUGUCGGUAUUGGUGUUUCUGGUUUGGGUAACUUUCAUGUUUAGUCCUCAAACUAUGAGGUGGGUGACAUUUUGGUCUUUAAAUUUUAAUUAGUUAUAAUUUCUAGCUUAAAUUUUCAAAAUUACUGCAAUCUAAGCCAUAUAACCUAAUUUAAUUGACUAAAUAUUGAUGUAUCACUAAUAGAGAAAUGAUAUAACACUAUUGUAAUUGAUGAUACGUUAAUAAUUAAGAUGCAAUAUCAUUUUUUUGUCCGCAAUGCAUCAAUAUUUAGUUAGCUAAAUUAGGGCGUGGGACUUGAUAAGGCGGGUGAUACUUUGGUCUUUAAACUUUAAUUAUUGUAAUUUUUGGUUCAAAUUUUUAAAAUUGUUGUAAUUAAAUUUAACAACUCAAUUUAGUUGACUAAAUAUUAAUUUAUCGUUAAUAUAGGAGUAAUAUAGCAAAGUUGUGAUUAAUGAUGCAUCAAUGGUUAAGAUGCAAUAUCACUUUUGUACGAGGGUUGCGUCUGUAUUUAGCGGACUAAAUUGGAUUAUGAGAUUUGAUUAUAACAAUUUUAAAAGCUCAAGCCAGAUAUUAUAAUAAAUUAAAAUUUAAGUGUCAAGAGUAUCACCUAUCUCACAGUUUGAGUAUCAAACAGUU
rnacentral:lncRNA from 1 species